GACGAACCGUGCGAACGUUGUUCGGAAUCACUGGGCUUAAAGGGCGCGUAGGCUGCCUGCUUAGUCGGGGGUGAAAUCUUUCGGCUUAACCGGAAAAUUGCCUUCGAUACUGGCAGGCUCGAGCGAGGUAGGGGCGGAUGGAACUUCCGGUGGAGCGGUGAAAUGCGUAGAUAUCGGAAGGAACACCGGUGGCGAAAGCGGCGCGCUGGACCUCUUCUGACGCUGAGGCGCGAAAGCCAGGGGAGCAAACGGG
rnacentral:rRNA from 1 species